rnacentral:rRNA from 1 species
UACGGGGGAGCAAGCGUUGUUCGAUUUACUGGGCGUAAAGGGCGCGUAGGCGGUCAGCACAAGUCAGUUGUGAAAUCUCCGGGCUUAACUCGGAACGGUCAACUGAUACUGUGCGACUAGAGUGCAGAAGGGGCAACUGGAAUUCUCGGUGUAGCGGUGAAAUGCGUAGAUAUCGAGAGGAACACCUGCGGCGAAGGCGGGUGCUGGGCUGACACUGACGCUGAGGCGCGAAAGCCAGGGGAGCGAACGGG